UACGUAGGGUGCAAGCGUUGUCCGGAAUUAUUGGGCGUAAAGAGCUCGUAGGCGGUCAGUCGCGUCUGCUGUGAAAACUCGGGGCUUAACUCCGGGCCUGCAGUGGGUACGGGCUGACUAGAGGUAGGUAGGGGAGAAUGGAAUUCCCGGUGUAGCGGUGAAAUGCGCAGAUAUCGGGAGGAACACCGGUGGCGAAGGCGGUUCUCUGGGCCUUACCUGACGCUGAGGAGCGAAAGCGUGGGGAGCGAACAGG
rnacentral:rRNA from 1 species